AGUGCCUCGCCCUUUCUCCGCAACUCCACCCCAGGCAGCCCUCACCCCCUCACCGCCGCGGCCACCUGCGUCCGCCCGUCCCGACCUCCGUCCUCCGCCUCCGGCACCGUCGCGGCCCCCUGAACGCAGUCCGAUUCCAGCCUCCGCCAGCCCGCCCACCAGCCACCGGCUUCCGGCCUCCGCCCGCCGGCGGCGGCCUCUGCUCUCCGCCCACCUGGCCACCUCCGCAUCCGGCCUCAGCCUCCGGUGUCCGGUGUCCGCCCCCGCAGUGGGCGUGCCGCACUGGGCUGAGGAAGAACAGCUUCCGGUUCCUGCUGCUGAUCUUGAACGGCGCGGCGCUCAGGUCGGAGGAGGCCUGCCGACGAGACUGAGGUAGCAGAAGGAGCCAUACCAAAAAGAGAAUCUUCCUCCGCCACUGUCGACUCCCAUCUGCGAGGGUAGCUUCGCGCCGAGGCGUCAGUGGCGCGAUGAACGUCCCUGUAGUCGGUGAGUUCUCGAUGCGAUUCGUGUGGAUUUUCGUCGUUCGGGGUUGGAAAACGUGUCUAUCGGGUAGAAUUCCGGAGAAAUCUGGUGGCCGUG
rnacentral:misc_RNA from 1 species